CUGUGACUCCUACGGGGAGGCAGCAGUAGGAAUAUUGGUCAAUGGACGCAAGUCUGAACCAGUCAUGCCGCGUGAAGGAUGAAGGUCCUCUGGAUUGUAAACUUCUUUAUAUGGGGCGAAACAGCGGAUUUCUAUCUGCCUUGACGGUACCAUAUGAAUAAGCACCGGCUAACUCCGUGCCAGCAGCCGCGGUAAUACGGAGGGUGCAAGCGUUAUCCGGAUUCACUGGGUUUAAAGGGUGCGUAGGCGGGCAUGUAAGUCAGUGGUGAAAUCCUGGAGCUUAACUCCAGAACUGCCAUUGAUACUAUAUGUCUUGAAUUUCCUGGAGGUUAGCGGAAUAUGUCAUGUAGCGGUGAAAUGCUUAGAUAUGACAUAGAACACCUAUUGCGAAGGCAGCUGACUACGGGUAGAUUGACGCUGAGGCACGAAAGCGUGGGGAUCAAACAGGAUUAGAUACCCUGGUAG
rnacentral:rRNA from 1 species